rnacentral:rRNA from 1 species
AACGAACGCUGGCGGCAUGCCUAACACAUGCAAGUCGAACGAGACCUUCGGGUCUAGUUGCGCACGGGUGCGUAACGCGUGGGAACCUGCCCUUAGGUUCGGAAUAACUCCCCGAAAGGGGUGCUAAUACCGGAUAAUGUCUUCUGACCAAAGAUUUAUCGCCUUUGGAUGGGCCCGCGUUGGAUUAGCUUGUUGGUAGGGUAAAAGCCUACCAAGGCUAGGAUCCAUAGCUGGUCUGAGAGAAUGAGCAGCCACACUGGGACUGAGACACGGCCCAGACUCCUACGGGAGGGUGCAGUGGGUAAUAUUGGACAACGGGCGAAAGCCUGAUCCAGCAAUGCCGCGUGAGUGAUGAAGGCCUGAGGGUUGUAAAGCUCUUUUACCCGGGAUGAUAAUGACAGUACCGGGAGAAUAAGCUCCGGCUAACUCCGUG